CAUGGCUGUCGUCAGCUCGUGUCGUGAGAUGUUGGUUAGUCCGCAACGAGCGCAACCCUAUCUUAUGUUGCCAGCACGUUAUGGUGGGGACUCGUAAGAGACUGCCGGGGUCAACUCGGAGGAAGGUGGGGACGAUGUCAAGUCAUCAUGCCCCUUAUGUCCAGGGCUUCACACAUGCUACAAUGGCCAGUACAGAGGGCUGCGAGACCGUGAGGUGGAGCGAAUCCCUUAAAGCUGGUCUCAGUUCGGAUCGGGGUCUGCAACUCGACCCCGUGAAGUCGGAGUCGCUAGUAAUCGCAGAUCAGCAACGCUGCGGUGAAUACGUUCCCGGGCCUU
rnacentral:rRNA from 1 species